rnacentral:rRNA from 1 species
AACGAACGCUGGCGGCAUGCCUUACACAUGCAAGUCGAACGGCAGCGCGGGGCAACCUGGCGGCGAGUGGCGAACGGGUGAGUAAUAUAUCGGAACAUACCCUAGAGGUGGGGGAUAACGUAGCGAAAGUUACGCUAAUACCGCAUACGCACUAAGGUGGAAAGUGGGGGAUUCGCAAGAACCUCAUGCUCAUGGAGUGGCCGAUAUCUGAUUAGCUAGUUGGUGAGGUAAAGGCUCACCAAGGCAACGAUCAGUAGCUGGUUUGAGAGAACGACCAGCCACACUGGAACUGAGACACGGUCCAGACUCCUACGGGAGGCAGCAGUGGGGAAUUUUGGACAAUGGGGGCAACCCUGAUCCAGCAAUGCCGCGUGAGUGAAGAAGGCCUUCGGGUU